UACGUAGGGUGCGAGCGUUGUUCGGAAUUACUGGGCGUAAAGGGCGCGUAGGCGGCCUUCUAAGUCGAACGUGAAAUCCCCGGGCUCAACCCGGGAACUGCGUCCAAUACUGGGAGGCUUGAAUCCGGGAGAGGGAUGUGGAAUUCCAGGUGUAGCGGUGAAAUGCGUAGAUAUCUGGAGGAACACCGGUGGCGAAGGCGGCAUCCUGGACCGGUAUUGACGCUGAGGCGCGAAAGCCAGGGGAGCAAACGGG
rnacentral:rRNA from 1 species